rnacentral:rRNA from 1 species
GAUGAACGCUGGCGGCGUGCCUAAUACAUGCAAGUCGAGCGAAUGGAUUAAGAGCUUGCUCUUAUGAAGUUAGCGGCGGACGGGUGAGUAACACGUGGGUAACCUGCCCAUAAGACUGGGAUAACUCCGGGAAACCGGGGCUAAUACCGGAUAACAUUUUGAACCGCAUGGUUCGAAAUUGAAAGUCGGCUUCUGCUGUCACUUAUGGAUGGACCCGCGUCGCAUUAGCUAGUUUGUGAGGUAACGGCUCACCAAGGCAACGAUGCGUAGCCGACCUGGAAGGGUGAUCGGCCACCCUGGGACUGAGACACGGCCCAGACUCCUACGGGAGGCAGCAGUAGGGAAUCUUCCGCAAUGGACGAAAGUCUAACGGAGCAACGCCGCCUGAGUGAUGAAGGCUUUCGGGUCGUAAAACUCUGUUGUUAGGGAAGAACAAGUGCCAGUUGAACAAGCUGGAACCUUGACGGUACCUAACCAGAAAGCCACGGCUAACUACGUGCCAGCCGCCGCGGUAA